UUUCCAGAACUUUUUCAUCAUCCCAAGUAGAAACUAUCUGUACCCAUUAAAAACUCCCCAUUCAACCCUUUCCCCAGCACCUGGUAACCGCUAUUCUGCUUUCUAUUUGCCUAUUCCUCAUAUAAGUAGAAUCAUAUAAUAUUUGUCCUUUUGUGUUUGUUUUUUUCCACUUACCAUAAUGUCAUCAAGGUUCAUCUAUAUUGUUGCAUACGUCAAAAUGUCCUUUUUAAGGCUGAAUAGUAUUC
rnacentral:lncRNA from 1 species